GUGAAAGCUCCGGGCUCAACCCGGAGAGGCCGUUCAAUACUGCUGAUCUAGAGGAGGCCAGAGGGGAGUGGAAUUCCUGGAGUAGCGGUAAAAUGCGCAGAUAUCAAGAAGAACACCGGCGGCGAAGGCGGCUCUCUGGAAUGGAUCUGACACUGUGGCACGAAAGCUGGGGUAGCAAACAGGAUUAGAUACCCUGGUAGUCCCAGCCGUAAACUGUGUGCACUUGGUGUGGGGAGUAUUGACCCUUCCCGUGCCGGAGCUAACGCGUUAAGUGCACCGCCUGGGGAGUACGGUCGCAAGGCUAAAACUCAAAGAAAUUGACGGGUCCCCGCACAAGCGGAGGAGCAUGUGGCUUAAUUCGAUGCAACGCGAAGAACCUUACCAGGGCUUGACAUGCAGCUGCUUCCUUCCUGAAAGGGAAGGGUCCUUCGAGGGUGCUGCACAGGUGCUGCAUGGCUGUCGUCAGUUCGUGCCGUGAGGUGUUGGGUUAAGUCCCGCAACGAACGCAACCCCUGUGUUUAGUUGCUACUUUCACUUUUGUGGAAGGCACUCUAGACAGACUGCCCGUACUAAGCGGGAGGAAGGUGGGGACGACGUCAAGUCAGUAUGGCCCUUACGCUCUGGGCUGCACACGUGCUACAAUGGCCGGUACAAUGGGAUGCGAAAUCGCGAGGUGGAGCAAAUCCCCAAAACCGGCCUCAGUUCGGAUUGGAGUCUGCAACCCGACUCCAUGAAGUUGG
rnacentral:rRNA from 1 species